GACGAGAAUUUGACGUUGCCUCGUGGCUUCGAUUCCCUUAUUAGUUUGGAGUGCGUUGGUGAUCGAAGUUGUGCUUUUCUAUCGGAACUAGUACGGAUUGUUGAUCAAUUUUUGCUGAGUUGGCUACCAUGGCUCAAGAUGGAGGACCACGUGAGCAUGUGAUUAACAUGGACUGGCUGGAACAAGAAAUAGUUAUGGAAGAGCAG